UCUGCAGAUGUUCAGGUGCGACCUGGAAUGAUUUGGUUUGGGACAUUGGGUGGCAGUAUUUUCUCAUGCUGACAACGAUAAUUAUGUUGACGAGGAUUCAGUGGUUGUUGGUGGACGCGGUAGGUGUGCUCCCAUCCUCCUCGCCUCCCCAUAGAUAAUUCAAUUUUGGAAAACUAAUGGUUUUGAUUAUGGGAAACCUAUGACAAAGGUGGGAGUCUUUCUAUUGUCUUUCAAUGGCCAUAUGCAUUAUAAAGAGUCUAGCCUGCAUCGGUGUGGACUUGGUGAGUUCUAUCCAAUUUCUUUGCCUGAUACUCAAAUGAAGGAGAGAGAUUAUAGAGUAGGAUGAUCUUGUUUCUUGCUUGAAUCUGAUGCUGAUACAAUGUUCAUACAAUUAAACUCAUCCUUAGAUACAAAGCUAAGCUUAUUUCUACUUACUGAAUGAGACAGAUAAGUUUUCACUAGUAGACUUAUGUGAUGACCAAAACAUGGAUACUUUAGCUCAACAUAAAAAACUUGGUAUAUUAGCUCCAACAUCUAAUCAGGAUAAUGGAGUUCUAUUGGUCCUUACUGCUAUUCCAAAUCCCUCGGAAGGAAAAACUGCUAUACUAAAUAAACUAUAUGGUCUACUAUUUCUAUUGUUUAGUCUUACUUCCAUUCAUGUAUUUUGUAGUACCCUGGGUAUAUACAAUAGUAAUAGUACAGAUGAAUAUGUAGUGGUACUUGCAUUAUUGCAUAGUAAGUUAAGCAUGUUGUAGUACAUGUCAAACACUCGUGCCAAUGAUAUUUAGAUAUGCUGUUGCAGCGUAUGGUGGCACACUAGGACCCUUCACUGUUAUCAUGUGCAGAAUCUUGAGUUUCCCUCUCCCCAUAUGUUUGUUCAUUCUGACAAACAUCUACAACAAUUUUAUACCGCAACAUAUCACAGAUUUGCCAAGAUUCCAAAGUCUUGUUAUUAUUGUUAAUCACUUUUGAUCUUGAACUUCGACCGACGGAUAAUUAUGACUCUUCGAAUAAGUCUCCAAUCUUUAUGAUUUAAAAUGCAAGCAAUAUUAUGUUUGACAUCAGUGAAUAGUACUAUGUGGUGUCCUUCAUUAAUUCCGGACUGACCUUAUGUCAGCUGCAUAUAGCUUAGACUUUGAUUGGAGUAAAGCACUCAUGCUUUGCUGGCUAUAUUUACAUGUAGUGCUUCAUGUUUAAGAGAGACCGGGCCCAGGACGCAAAGUGGCGCGAAGAAGAUGGAAAAGCUUGACAACAUCUUUUUCGCUUUCAUUACUCAUGGACCUCAUGGUAUUUUAGAUCGUUUCUUGAGGGUUAGGGUCAUUUGUACCAGACCAUAGAUCAUUUCACUAAUUUCCACUAAUUUGGACAACUGAUCUUUGUUUAUCUGUAUAUUGAGAAUCCUUGGUAAGACCAGCCUGGUCUCAUGGCAAUCUUUACCAUACUCUGUUAAUAAUGACUUUUCUAAACUAUAUUGAUAGAGCUUUCAAUGCUGUUUAUACCACAUACGGUUACCAAUUUACAUUACAAUUUGUCCUAAAAAGGAUAUUAAAUCACCACUAUGCCUUGCAUACAUGUUUUGGUAGAAACUGUCUUUUACAAACUUUUUGGAUUGACAGUCGUACUAUGCACACUCUCUAGGUCGAAAAUUUGAAUAUCUUGUUAUUAUUUAGAUAUCGGUGGUAAAAGAAGGGCUUUACCUAUGUUGUUUCUGGCGGAAUAUUGUAACUAUUAGGUGUAUAGGUAUGCUACCUCUGCUAUCUGCCACUCAGUACCAGUUCUUAUUUAGAAAAACAAUUAAAAUUUGUGGUUCUAAUCCGAUUCAUUGUAUUACAGGAUCUUUUGCACAUUAGCCUCUCCUUGCUGACAUCUGGUGAAAGCUGUGGUUGAGGAGAAGAAUGAAAAUCUUAUAGCUCUAGUUUUGCCCCUCCAACGGUCAUGCUCUAAGCUUUGGGUGUGACUGUUUGCACCCUUUCAUGUAGUUGUGUUCCCCUCUAGGAAAUGAAUAGAUUCUCACUCAAAAAAGAAAGGAAAUGAAUAGAUCUAACAUAUUUGGUAUGUCUCCAUUGUUUAUGAGGAAACAACUGGACUAUGGUUAAUGGUCUGUGGUGUUGAGAACAACAAAAAGGUGGAAUGCUCAUGGAGCGGCCUUAGUUUUCUUUCCCAGUAACAAUGUACCUUAUCAACAAUUAUGCCUCUGCCACUCGAAUAACAUAACAAAUUAUUUAUGCUCAGGUAUAUAUUUUCAAAGAUAAAUUGCUGCUAUCAUGCAACCUUAAGAAAUUCUUUGUAUUGGACUGUUG
rnacentral:lncRNA from 1 species